rnacentral:rRNA from 1 species
GAGGUGCUUGCACCUCUCGAUUUUAGCGGCGGACGGGUGAGUAACACGUGGGUAACCUACCUAUAAGACUGGGAUAACUUCGGGAAACCGGAGCUAAUACCGGAUAAUAUUUAGCUUCGCAUGAAGCAAUAGUGAAAGACGGUUCUGCUGUCACUUAUAGAUGGACCUGCGGUGUAUUAGCUAGUUGGUGAGGUAACGGCUCACCAAGGCAACGAUACAUAGCCGACCUGAGAGGGUGAUCGGCCACACUGGGACUGAGACACGGCCCAGACUCCUACGGGAGGCAGCAGUAGGGAAUCUUCCGCAAUGGACGAAAGUCUGACGGAGCAACGCCGCGUGAGUGAAGAAGGUUUUCGGAUCGUAAAACUCUGUUGUAAGGGAAGAACAAGUACGUUAGUAACUGAACGUACCUUGACGGUACCUUACCAGAAAGCCACGGCUAACUACGUGCCAGCAGCCGCGGUAAUACGUAGGUGGCAAGCGUUAUCCGGAAUUAUUGGGCGUAAAGCGCGCGUAGGCGGUCUCUUAAGUCUGAUGUGAAAGCCCCCGGCUCAACCGGGGAGGGUCAUUGGAAACUGGGAGACUUGAGUACAGAAGAGGAGAGUGGAAUUCCAUGUGUAGCGGUGAAAUGCGCAGAGAUAUGGAGGAACACCAGUGGCGAAGGCGGCUCUCUGGUCUGUAACUGACGCUGAGGUGCGAAAGCGUGGGGAUCAAACAGGAUUAGAUACCCUGGUAGUCCACGCCGUAAACGAUGAGUGCUAAGUG